AGUGAACGCUGGCGGUAGGCCUAACACAUGCAAGUCGAACGGCAGCACAGUAAGAGCUUGCUCUUACGGGUGGCGAGUGGCGGACGGGUGAGGGAUACAUCGGAAUCUACUUUUUCGUGGGGGAUAACGUAGGGAAACUUACGCUAAUACCGCAUACGACCUACGGGUGAAAGCAGCGGAUCUUCGGACCUUGCGCGAUUGAAUGAGCCGAUGUCGGAUUAGCUAGUUGGCGGGGUAAAGGCCCACCAAGGCGACGAUCCGUAGCUGGUCUGAGAGGAUGAUCAGCCACACUGGAACUGAGACACGGUCCAGACUCCUACGGGAGGCAGCAGUGGGGAAUAUUGGACAAUGGGCGAAAGCCUGAUCCAGCCAUGCCGCGUGUGUGAUGAAGGCCUUCGGGUUGUAAAGCCCUUUUGUUGGGAAAGAAAAGCAGCGGGUUAAUACCCCGCUGUGCUGACGGUACCCAAAGAAUAAGCACCGGCUAACUUCGUG
rnacentral:rRNA from 1 species